rnacentral:sRNA from 1 species
GGAAUGAUACCGAAUCUUGACCUUAGAUCAUGAAGUCCUAAAGUGCAGAUAUCGAUUCCGUCGAUGAUUAUCUUCCCACCAGAUGGCUCCACAAGUCUAA